UUAGUGACAGACGGGUGAGUAAUACAUAGGAAUCUGCCUUGUAGAAGGGGAUAACUGUUGGAAGCAACAGCUAAUACCCUAUAUAGCCGAGAGGUGAAAGAUUUAUCGCUACAAGAUGAGCCUAUGCAAGAUUAGCUAGUUGGUGGGGUAAAGGCCUACCAAGGCUGUGAUCUUUAGUUGGUCUGAGAGGAUGAUCAGCCACACUGGAACUGAGAUACGGUCCAGACUCC
rnacentral:rRNA from 1 species